rnacentral:rRNA from 1 species
UCUGGUAAUGAUGACACUUAGGGUAAUACCUGUUCCCAUUCCGAACACAGAAGUCAAGCCUAAAUGUGCCGAAAAUACUUGCGGGUUACCCUGCUGGCGGGUUACCCUGCUGGGAAGAUAGGUUGUUGCCAGAU